CGCCCGCAAAACAGGAUCUUGGUACCUCUAAGGGGUCCUUUUCAAAAUUUCCGAGGAACAGCCCGGUCCUUUUUACACGAGGGUCCCACUCCCGGGCAGAAGAUUAGUCAAAGGUCCUCAUUUGUGCUCUUCACUUACCGGUAAUAAUCCGUUUAGUCCAUCGAAAUUUACUCCACUCUUCGAAGUAAUGCUGCUUAGUUCUUUCAUUAUUUUAUUCGGCGAGAGCUCUUCUGGGCCCUAGCUACCCAGCCAGGCCAGCCUAUCAGGACCUAUCAGGACCUAUCAGGGGCAACAUAAGUGUUUCCUCGUACGACCCCUCGUUCGUUGCAGCAACAUUGCCGAAGUGCCCUGGGGACGAGGUUGAAGGUGGCCCCAGGAACGCCCCAGAAAAAAAAUUGUCACGUGACUCACAGCGUGACGACUUCACACUCGAGUUGAGUUGAGUUGAGUUGACUUGUAGCUUUUGUGUGGUCGUUGCUUUCCAGCUGAUGGCGGGAACAGCUCACUGUAAACCGUACAGGGCCCGAGGAAAGAAACAUUUUAAACGAAGCCCGCAUACCGAAUGCCUCGCGUCUCGAAUUUCAAGUUGAAAGUGAAGAAAAGUUUAGACGAAGUAAACUUCUAAGAAGGAAAAGGCAAAGACGAACAACGAACUGAUCAGUUCUCUCUGGUUCGCAUAGUGACCAUAGCCUUAAACGUUUGGAAAAAAGAUCGAAGGUCGUGCAUUUCCUCCCCGGAAAGCGGUAGGUAGGAGAGGUUUUCUUUGCGGACUGUAAGCAGUGAAAUUCAUCUAUUGCCCAGUCAUUCUGAAAUGGAUUUUUUAGGUUUUGAGCAAGAUUCACUGUUCUUCCCUGAUCUGUAAUUUAUGCCGGCAUGUGUGCAUGUUGAUACACGGCUGUGGGUGGGGCAUUUUGCCAGAGGGGUUAUUCUCCGUGAUGGACAAAACACUGACCCCUAGUCCAUGGACUACCCUAAUGGACUACCCAAAUGGACUACCUAAAAUGGACUACCCCUAAAAAAUACUAUUUCAGAUGAGUGGUAUGUUAAGAAGCUGCGAUUGUAUACUUACACUGUAGGGAGGAUGCUUUUCUUUUUGUUCUGCAUCACCUUCGGCUGCCAUUUUGAAUAACUUUUUAAUCACCAUUUAACUAUGGAUUGUGAAAUACAGUCGCCUGGCGCUUUUUUGUGUGGCUAAUUUUUUUUCACUUUGUUAUUUACAAGCUUAUAAAGGAAAGGCAGGGAAGCAUAAGGCAGGGACUCUGAACCUCAAUCGUUGAACCUUGCUUUUUCCACGUAUGUCACUUCACAAAACUCAUCAAAGUCCAGUUGUAACUCAAGUUAUAAGAUGGAAACAGAUUUUGUUAUUGAAGGUUUUACCUGAGCUGUCCAUGCUGGCAUGUUCUGCUGACACUUCGGUUGGCUUGAAUCUACGCGUUUUCUGUUCAGUGGUUGUUUUAUUCAGUAUAGUUGUUCAAAAUGGCGGCUGAAGGUGAUGUGGAAUGAAAAGAAAAGCAUCCUCCGUGCAGUGUAAGUAUAUAAUUGCAGCAGCUUAACAUACCACUCACCUGAAAUAGUAUUUUUCAGGGGUAAUCCAUUUUAGGGUAGUCCAUUUGGUUAGUCCAUUAGGGUAGUCCAUGGACUAAGGGUCAGUGAAGCAGUGUUUGUUAAACAAAGGACAUUACAUUUCUGGGAAUGAAAAAGGCUUC